UACGGAGGAUCCAAGCGUUAUCCGGAUUUAUUGGGUUUAAAGGGUGCGUAGGUGGUUUUUUAAGUCAGGGGUGAAAGACGGCAGCUUAACUGUCGCAGUGCCUUUGAUACUGAAGAACUUGAAUCCACUAGAGGUAGGCGGAAUGUGACAAGUAGCGGUGAAAAUGCAUAGAUAUGUCACAGAACACCAAUUGCGAAGGCAGCUUACUAUGGUGGUAUUGACACUGAGGCACGAAAGCGUGGGGGAUCAAAACAGG
rnacentral:rRNA from 1 species